GAGGAAGUACAGAAAAUAGUAAGCACUGCUAAUCCUUAUCUACCGCGGUUAAAAUCCGCGGCUUUCUCA
rnacentral:tRNA from 1 species